AACUUUUGACAACGGAUCUCUUGGCUCUCGCAUCGAUGAAGAACGCAGCGACAUGCGAUAAGUAAUGUGAAUUGCAGAAUUCAGUGAAUCAUCGAAUCUUUGAACGCACCUUGCGCCCUUUGGCUAGUCCGAAGGGCAUGCCUGUUUGAGUAUCAUAAACACCUCAACUCCCAUGGUUUGCCAUGAUGAGCUUGGACUUUUGGGGUCUUGCUGGCCUAUGGUCAGCUCCACUACAACGAAUCAGCUUGCCGGUGUUUGGUGGCAUCACAGGUGUGAUAACUAUCUACGCUUGUGGUUUUCCACCAGGUAACCUUCAGUGAUGGAGGUUCGCUGGAGCUCAUAAACGUCUCUCCUCUGCGAGGACAACUUUUUGAAUGUUUGAUCUCUAAUCAGGUAGGACUACACGCUGAAGUUAAGCAUAUCAAUAAGCGGAGGCU
rnacentral:misc_RNA from 1 species